UCCUGCUUCGACAGAUCCCCCGAGCCUGGUGUCGUCCGUUGGUGCGUCCGGGUUUGCGACACUCGCCAUCCCGCUCAGCCCCGGGAAGGGGCCUCCGGCUAGUCCGGUCGCCUCCACCCCUCCGAGGGAACCCCAACAGACAGAGGUCAUAAUGACUAUGAGGCUCCUGGCUUACAUAUUUGCAUGAAAUGGUAUGUGAUACUGAAUGCUGGCAUAAACGCAUGAACACACGGUUUUAAUUGAAUAUAUUUAUCUCUCAGAAGGAAUUUACAGAAUUCUAUUAGAUCAUCUUGAUAUUUGCCUUUUAGCUUGUCUUUAAAUUGUAGAUUAAUAACUUCCAGUUGAAGGUUAGGUGGAAACUCUUCAAUUGCAAAGUAAAAUGCAUUUUGAAAAAUGCGAAUUUCCCUUGCCCUUGUAUCGAGGCUUGAAAAGUGCUGUGGGACUAUAGUUUGAGCUCUGAAAAUAUAUCUGCUACAAAUUUCUGUGAAAAUGGGAGAUCUCACUUCUUGAUUUAACUUUGUAGCAAGAGUGGCUACAGCAGCUUGACAUUACUUGUGAUUCAAACAACAUCAGCGUUCUCAAAAUUACUUUGUAGCAGAGUGAGUGUAAUACAUGGACGCUGUUUGCUUGCAAUUUUAGAUUGAAUUUAUUAAGAAAUUUUAUCAAAUCUGCAGCAAAUAUGUAUUUCUGAAGCCAACUUGACAUAAAUCACCGUGGCUGAAGGUUAAACUUGGCCAUGAGGCUGUACAUUUCAGACCCCUGCUCUAAAGGCUACCAAAGGCAACGGUUUGCAUUGUUCUACUAUAAAUAUUUAUUGUUUUUUAUUUGUCUUGGGCAAGAUGUAGAGAACCCUUAUAGUGGCCAUUCUUUCACGAAUUUCUUGAACAAUCAUUUGCUGAGGGCUCACCAUGUUAUUUGAAGUCUACUAGGUGUCAGGGAACUAAAAACAGCUGCAUUGGAGCCACGGGAGCCACAUUCCCAUAUAAUACAGUACAUGUGGAAAAGAAAUAUGCAAGUGUACUAUAGGAGCAAAGUGAAGAAAGCCAAUUAAUUGUGAUUUAUCCAAUUUAUCAGACUGUACUUUGAAUCAGAUGGGAAAGGGGAAGAUAUCAGGUCCUAGUCAUAAAGCAUCUGUAGUAAUUUCCUAACGAGAGAAGUCAAGAAAGGGAACCCCAGGCAAAGAGACCACUUUGUAUACAGAGGGCUGGAGGCACGAGAAGAUGCCAGAACCAUGAGGGCCAGUGGAAGCCGAGUGGAAGGAGAGGAAGAGAGCAGGGUAGACGUGGCUGGAGAGGCCAGAGAGGUCGCUGAGGUGGCCUAGGGAGCCAGAGCUCACAAGCUUCGAUACGCACACAAAUCACCUGGACAACUGGACAAGUGCGAUGUCCCAUCCAGUUGCUGGGGCUUCCGCUCUGCAUUUCUAACAAGAUCCCAGGCGGCGGUGAUACGGCGGCUGGAGGAGGACCACGCGUGAACAGCAAGACUCCAGGCGACGCUAAGGAGUUUGCCGACUGGCACUGACAGGAGUGUAAAACUACUGCAAAUUGUUACUCCAGCGGCACCUGCCUGCCAGCAUCUGAUCAGCGGCGCCUCUCGUGCACCUUUCACUCUUUCCUCACUGACGUCAGAGCCCACGGGGCCGCUGGGCACUGCCUCUGACCCUGCGGCAUGGAGUGGGAUCACCCGACUCCCCCCACUUUAAGACAAACAUGCAUGAACGCCAUCAUCAUGAAAAUGAACGUCUAGUCUGCAGAUCGGAGGGCUUGUGGAGCACCGUAGGGGCAAGCACUCAUACUCUUCUCUCUCUGUGGCUUCAUUUGCACUGAUUUAUCCAUCUCUCCAUCUCAGCAGUUAUCAACUGCAUCCCCUGUCCCUAACCUGAGAAUGCAGAGAAGCUUUCCCUAUUGAAGACAUUCUAAUGGGGCUCUGCGGGUCACCUGACAAAAGCUGGCAGAAGUGAUAGAUGCUGUGUUCUUCCUUCUGUGGAGUUGGAUGCUUUCCACCGUCGCUGGGUCAAAUUAGGACUCCUGAGAAUAAUAUCUGGAUCCCCUACAUAGUUCUGAAAUGCCAUGAUCUUCUGAAUGGAUAAGAUCAGCAAGUAUUUCAAAUUUAUGUAGUCAACCUCGGAGAACUAGACUGAACACAUAAAGCUUUUCAGAUGACAGAAAGCAUGAAUAAGCAGGUAGAAAAUGGGUUUCUUGGCUGACAUAUGGCAAAUGAAGUUUAAACACGUAAGGACAGGAGAGUAAUUCAUAUUGAUUGUAAAACUAAAAGGAAACACAAAUAUAUUCUUCCAGUAUUUCAAAUUUUGUCAUCACAAGUCAUGGGUGCCUUCUUAUUCCCCCUAACCCAUCCUCUGCACAACAUGCACAUCCCUUCUGAAGACUAGAUAUUAGUCACUCUAACACCAUUUUGUUUCUUGCAGAGUAGUUACCCCUCAGGUUUUUUAAAUCCAUAAUAUACCCAGGAUUAAGUCUUUCCCAUUAGUUGGUAGGAUCUUCUAUUCUCUCAAAAGCUGUUAUGACCAAACUUCUCACAGAAGAGGCACUAAUUAAUUAGGAAAACAUACCGUGAAAGAGCCAUUCCUGUUUAUUGUCCCAAACAUCACCUUAUGAAAUUAUACACUACAGAAAUAUAUUUUUUAAGUUUUCUCGUUUGGAAGGGAACUUGUUUAGAAACUAGUGUGUCUCUAGGGUAUGAGAAAUUACCUUCUUUGUCUUAGUUCUAACUGAAUAUUAUCUUUAAGUAGAAGUCAGGUCUUAAAAUAUAUGCAGUAGAGAGGAGAUGAAUGAGUAAAACAGAUAAAACUGUUAUUCAGGUAUUAUAUAAAGAAAGUCCACUUACGCAAUAAGAAGAAAAAUCAUUCACCACAACUUCAACUCAAAAAGUAUACCUUGUAAUUUUUAAAAAAAUAAAUGUUAUAGAAUUAUAAAUGUUCUUGUAUUAUAACCAGUAUUAUACUGUAUUGACUGUUUCACUUAGACAUCGUUCUAAAGGGUUAAUUGUUAAAUUCACCAAGAAUAUCCUUAUACUUGCAGUAUGCCGUGAAUUAAGUUCAGACAAAAAUAAAAUAUUUUAGAGAAAGUUUAAUAAAUUUUUUUGUUUUAGAAAAUACCAAUAAACAUAGACAUACCUACCAAAAAUCCAAGUGGAAAAGGAAAAAUUCAGUCUAUUAUUCAGAUAUUUGAGAAAGAAGCAAACACAAAAGGUAAGGUAUUUGUGGAGCACUUUCUGAAACAUUUU